rnacentral:misc_RNA from 1 species
GCAAACUUGGUCAUUUAGAGGAAGUAAAAGUCGUAACAAGGUUUCCGUAGGUGAACCUGCGGAAGGAUCAUUAACAAAAAUAUUUCAUUCGUGUUGCCUCAUGCGCGGUGGUCGCCGGAGAAAUUGCUUCGGAGGCUGCUGCCGUGGGGGGCGGCGUACUGCUGCCUGCUCGCCUCUCGCAGUGUCCAACAUUGCGGGGGCGCGGGGGCGUACGUAACCAUUUCAUGACACAACAACCACACACAUUAUGAUUGACACCAAGAUUAUUAAAAGUAAUAAUAAUAACAACUUUUAACAAUGGAUCUCUUGGCUCUUGCAUCGAUGAAGAACGCAGC